GAGGAAUUCUUCUAUAUAACAGUCACAUCACGCCAACAACAUAUAACAUCAAUUUUUUUAUUUAAAAAAAAGAGUUAAAUGCAUUCAUGUUCCUACAAAUAUUGUGAAUUACAAAUAUAUCCCAACAAAAUUCAAUUUUUAUAUAUUGUCUCUACAAAAGUUUUAAUAUUUUCAAAUAUCUUGCUCUGAUUUAUUACUGUUAUAAAACUGUUUAUAUUCUAAAUGAAAUAUCAAUUUUGUUACUGUUGUAGAUUAACCAUUAUAAAAUUGUUUAUAUUUUAAGUGAAAUGUCAAUUCUGCCAUCAGAAAUAUGUCCUUCCAAAAGUCACAAUACUAUAAUAUAAGAGAAGAAAAAAUAUCAAAAUCUCAUAAAUUAGACAGAGUUAGCAGUUAACCAAUGGUUAAUUAAAGUUUUUUAACAGAUUCUAACGGCAUGGACAUAUUUGAAAAUAUUAGAAUUUUUUAAGGGACAACAUAUGAAAGUUGAACUUUGUAGAGAUAUAUUUGAAAUUCACUAUGUUUGCAUGAAUCUGUAUAAAAUUAACCCUUAAAAGAAAAACACAAUACAAUUUUUUUUU
rnacentral:lncRNA from 1 species